GUGACAGGGCGCGGAACCCGAAAACCUGUCUCAGUUCGGAUUGGAGUCUGCAACCCGACUCCAUGAAGCUGGAUUCGCUAGUAAUCGCGCAUCAGCCACGGCGCGGUGAAUACGUUCCCGGGCCUUGUACACACCGCCCGUCAAGCCAUGGAAGCCGGGAGUGCCUGAAGUGCGUGACCGCAAGGAGCGUCCUAAGGCAAUACCGGUGACUGGGGCUAAGUCGUAACAAGGUACC
rnacentral:rRNA from 1 species